rnacentral:rRNA from 1 species
AACGAACGCUGGCGGCAUGCCUAACACAUGCAAGUCGAACGAGACCUUCGGGUCUAGUGGCGCACGGGUGCGUAACGCGUGGGAACCUGCCCUUAGGUUCGGAAUAACUCCCCGAAAGGGGUGCUAAUACCGGAUAAUGUCUUCGGACCAAAGAUUUAUCGCCUUUGGAUGGGCCCGCGUUGGAUUAGUUAGUUGGUAGGGUAAAAGCCUACCAAGGCGAGGAUCCUUAGCUGGUAUGAGAGGAUGAUCAGCCACACUGGGACUGAGACACGGCCCAGACUCCUACGGGAGGGAGCAGUGGGGAAUAUUGGACGAGGGGCGAAAGCCUGAUACAGCAAUGCCGCGUGAGUGAUGAAGGCCUUAGGGUUGUAAAGCUCUUUUACCCGGGAUGAUAAUGACAGUACCGGGAGAAUAAGCUCCGGCUAACUCCGUG